AGUGAACGCUGGCGGUAGGCCUAACACAUGCAAGUCGAACGGCAGCACAGUAAGAGCUUGCUCUUACGGGUGGCGAGUGGCGGACGGGUGAGGAAUACAUCGGAAUCUACUUUUUCGUGGGGGAUAACGUAGGGAAACUUACGCUAAUACCGCAUACGACCUACGGGUGAAAGCAGGGGAUCUUCGGACCUUGCGCGAUUGAAUGAGCCGAUGUCGGAUUAGCUAGUUGGCGGGGUAAAGGCCCACCAAGGCGACGAUCCGUAGCUGGUCUGAGAGGAUGAUCAGCCACACUGGGACGGAGACACGGUCCAGACUCCUACGGGAGGCAGCAGUGGGGAAUAUUGGACAAUGGUCGCAAGCCUGAUCCAGCCAUACCGCGUGAGUGAUGAAGGCCUUCGGGUUGUAAAGCCCUUUUGUUGGGAAAGAAAAGCAGCAGGUUAAUACCCCGCUGUUCUGACGGUACCCAAAGAAUAAGCACCGGCUAACUUCGUG
rnacentral:rRNA from 1 species